rnacentral:rRNA from 1 species
UGAAUUUUAAAGGGCCGCGGUAUUUCUGACCGUGCGAAGGUAGCAUAAUCAUUAGUCUUUUAAUUUGAGGCUCGUAUGAAUGGUCGGACGAGGGAUAAACUGUUUCAGGUGAAAAACUCGAAUUUAACUUUUAAGUGAAAAGGCUUAAAUAUUUCAAAAAGACGAUAAGACCCUAUAAAUCUUAACAUUAAAUUUCAUGUAAUUCUAGCUUAUUAGUGUAAAGAAACCCAUGGUAAAAAUGUUAUGUUGGGGCAACAAAGAUAUAAAAAAAUUAACUGUUUUAUCAUUUAAACAAAAAUCAUUGAAUUUCUAGAUCCUUUUUUAAGAUUUAAAGAUCAAGUUACUUUAGGGAUAACAGCGUCAUUCUUUUUGAGAGUCCCCAUCGAAAAAAGAGUUUGCGACCUCGAUGUUGAAUUAGAAGAUCU